CCAGACUCCUACGGGAGGCAGCAGUGAGGAAUAUUGGUCAAUGGGCGGGAGCCUGAACCAGCCAAGUCGCGUGAGGGAAGACGGUCCUAUGGAUUGUAAACCUCUUUAGGCGGGGAGCAAUGCCGGGCACGCGUGCCCGGAGGGAGAGUACCCGCAGAAUAAGCAUCGGCUAACUCCGUGCCAGCAGCCGCGGUAAUACGGAGGAUGCGAGCGUUGUCCGGAAUUACUGGGUGUAAAGGGAGCGUAGGCGGGAGGAUAAGUUGGACGUAUAAACUAUCGGCUCAACCGGUAGAGGCGUUCAAAACUGUCCUUCUUGAGUGAAGUAGAGGUAAGCGGAAUUCCUAGUGUAGCGGUGAAAUGCGUAAAUAUUAGGAGGAACACCAGUGGCGAAGGCGGCUUACUGGGCUUUAACUGACGCUGAGGCUCGAAAGCGUGGGUAGCAAACAGGAUUAGAUACCCCUGUAC
rnacentral:rRNA from 1 species